UACGGAGGGUGCAAGCGUUGUCCGGAAUCACUGGGCGUAAAGGGCGCGUAGGCGGCUCGGUAAGUAGGGGGUGAAAUCCUGCGGCUCAACCGCAGGGCUGCCUUCUAAACUGUCGAGCUCGAGCACGGUAGAGGCAGAUGGAAUUCCCGGUGUAGCGGUGGAAUGCGUAGAGAUCGGGAGGAACACCAGUGGCGAAGGCGACUUCCUGGCCUGUUCUUGACGCUGAGGCGCGAAAGCUAGGGUAGCAAACGGG
rnacentral:rRNA from 1 species